ACCAUGCUUCCAAGAAAAGCCUCUAAGCUUCAGUUACAAGGAGACCGUACCGCAAACCAACACAGGUGGGCAGGAUGAAAAUUCUAAGGCGCUUGAGAGAACUCAGGAGAAGGAACUCGGCAAAUUUGCACCGUAACUUCGGGAUAAGGUGCGCCCUGAUAGGUUGUAGCCCCUCGCGGGUGAAGGCUGAAAGGGUUGCAGUGAAAUGGUGGCUGCGACUGUUUAAUAAAAACACAGCACUCUGCAAACACGAAAGUGGUCGUAUAGGGUGUGACGCCUGCCCGGUGCCGGAAGGUUAAGUGAUGGGGUGAGAGCUCUUGAUCGAAGCCCCGGUAAACGGCGGCCGUAACAAUAACGGUCCUAAGGUAGCGAAAUUCCUUGUCGGGUAAGUUCCGACCUGCACGAAUGGCGUAACGAUGGCCACACUGUCUCCUCCUGAGACUCAGCGAAGUUGAAAUGGUUGUGAAGAUGCAAUCUCCCCGCGGUUAGACGGAAAGACCCCAUGAACCUUUACUGUAGCUUUGCAUUGGACUUUGAACCGACUUGUGUAGGAUAGGUGGGAGGCUGUGAAACCGGGACGCUAGUUCAGGUGGAGCCAACCUUGAAAUACCACCCUGGUUUGUUUGAGGUUCUAACCACGGCCCGUGAAUCCGGGUCUGGGACCGUGCAUGGUAGGCAGUUUGACUGGGGCGGUCUCCUCCUAAAGUGUAACGGAGGAGUACGAAGGUACGCUAGGUACGGUCGGACAUCGUGCUGAUAGUGCAAUGGCAAAAGCGUGCUUGACUGCGAGACCCACACGUCGAGCAGGUACGGAAGUAGGUCAUAGUGAUCCGGUGGUUCUGUAUGGAAGGGCCAUCGCUCAACGGAUAAAAGGUACUCUGGGGAUAACAGGCUAAUACCGCCCAAGAGUUCAUAUCGACGGCGGUGUUUGGCACCUCGAUGUCGGCUCAUCACAUCCUGGGGCUGUAGUCGGUCCCAAGGGUAUGGCUGUCCGCCAUUUAAAGUGGUACGUGAGCUGGGUUUAAAACGUCGUGAGACAGUUUGGUCCCUAUCUGCCGUGGGCGCUGGAAAUUUGAAGGGGGCUGCUCCUAGUACGAGAGGACCGGAGUGGACGAACCUCUGGUGUACCGGUUAUGACGCCAGUCGUAUUGCCGGGUAGCUAAGUUCGGAAGAGAUAAACGCUGAAAGCAUCUAAGCGUGAAACUCGCCUUAAGAUGAGAUUUCCCUGGGGACUUGAUCCCCCUGAAGGGUCGUGGUAGACCACCACGUUGAUAGGCUGGGUGUGGAAGCGCAGCAAUGCGUUAAGCUAACCAGUACUAAUUGCCCGUGAGGCUUGAUCCU
rnacentral:rRNA from 1 species